CUCCACCUCUGCCCCGGCUCCUAACGUGUGUACUCGCGCCCCCUCGAGGUUCAGCCGGUACUGCCAGGACGGGCGACGGUCGACAACCUGCCACCCCAGCUCCAACCCAGGUCCAGGGCCUCCCCGCCAGGAACCUGGGGGCCCACUUGAUUCCGUACCGCUCCCAGAAGAGGUUAUUCCUGAAGGUGCGGUUAACGUCUACGUCACGGUGCUUGACGCCAGGACCGCACCGCCCGGCCCGCUCUUUUAUGCGCUGUGGGCGGGGCCGAGGGGCGGGGCCAACGUCAGGAGGCCCUGACCCGCUGGACCAACCGCCACAACUGCCGCGACCGGGCGGGCGCUGCGCGGCCCGAGGGACCGGAGCUGUUUUCUGCAGAAACCUCAUUCCGCUUGUUUCUAAAGCCAGCGGGGCUCACGAGGGACUCCCCCGUCCAAGGCCCAGAACCCCGACCGUUAACAAGGUCCCAGAGCAGAGACCAGGCCUGCCCUCGCACUGGUGGAGGGAUGCCCAUGGACACCCUUUGGCACAUCUAUGGGGGAGAAGCAGCCCUGAGACAGAUGCAGGCACCACACCGGGGAGUAGACGGACACGCGUGGAGUCUUAACCCUCACCGACUGAGUGCUGAGGUCGCAGAUACUGAAGCCCUGGAUGCGGGGACUAGGUGGGUUUUCCUGACUUGAAGGCAAGAGAAACAAGGUGUGAGGUACUGACCCGGCUGGAGGCCCAGAAGGCCCUACCCACCCCCUCAACCCCCAAGUCUCAGUCCAGGAGACUCGAAGGGAGGGCUGAUCCCUCCCAGGGUGCUGGCUUCAGGGUGGGCUGAAUUCUGGAGAUGCUCUAGGGGUGCGGGUGCCAUCAGGCCAUCAGGGCACCCACAAGGAAGGCUCGGCCCCCACAUUGGGGGGGUCCUCCAGUAGGGGGCGAUUGUGCUCAACUGUGCGCCACCUCUGGGGGUCCAUCUGUCCCGACAGAGCCCCAGGGAGCGCCCCGGUUAGGGGCACUCACCACAGGGCACCCUGACCGCCUUCAUGCGGCUGGCACUCCCUCCUCCGUGGCCUGUGCUCCGCACUCAGGCCUGCUUCCUCCUGUGCACCUUGAGGACGGUGGAGGCCAUGGCUGUGAGCAAGUGCCCACCCUCCAGGACGGAGGCAUCCCAGAGCCUCAGGGUCAGUGGAAAGGGGGCUCUGUGGGGACCGUGGGCAUGGGAGGGGCCGCUAGAGCAGAGGACAGGGGGUCCCAGCACAGGGUUAGAAGCCCCAUCUGCCUCUGGUCCCUGCAGUCCCACCAUUCGUCAGACAAGGUCCCAGAGCUGCUCAUCUGGCUGGACAAAGGUGCUCCCACCAGGCCUCUCAGGGUCCUUAGGGCCUGACAGCACACCAGCUAACCCUCUUGGUGGGGACACCUCAGCAGAUCACGAUGGUGGCUCGGCUGCACCCCAGGUUGACCCACCCUUCCCGAAGGGAGCCAGGCAGAAACGGCGGGUCCCUGGGACUUCAAGGUGCCCUGGGCCCACCAGGAGGGCUCUGGGCUGCCCUUCGGGGCUCCUCAAGAGGGUCUUGGCAUAUCUGAGGGUGGGGUUUGUCCCUCCCUGGGCAUCAGGAGUGGGGGACAGGGAGGCCUUGGAACCCAGCGUCCCUGGGCAGCCUUACCUGGUUGAUGAAGCACUGCAUGGACCACGUGGGUGUGUAAAUCCCCACAGACAUCUGCUCUAAAGCAGGGCAGGGGGUGCUCAGGGCCUGCCUGCUCUGCCGGAAACCUCCCUACUUGAGGGCCCUGUACAGCCACCCUCAGGGGUGGUGGACAUGCUGUCCAUGGGCCUGCUCAGCCCAAGCUCACCCCUGGCCACCCCCAGGAGAAGGCGAGUGAAGCCUGCAGGAAGCCAAGUCCCUGCAGUGGCCAUGGGACAGCACCUCUGGGCGGGGCAACAGCUGUACUCACCACAUGUCCCUUCAACUUGGGGAGGGCUCUGCCGAGAAUGUGCCUGUGGUGGGCCUGGAAUCUUAGCAAUGUCAGGAAUCCAGGGAUGAAGCCUGAGGAGCCCCCAGACCCCCACAAGUCAGAGCCUUGCCCAGAGGGGAGUGGAGUACCACAGGAGCCCCGAGUGGUGACCCCUGCCUGUGGGGCCCUCUUGAGCCCUGGCUGGACAUGCUCUUCCCAGGGAGGACAGCCUGUGAGGCCAGGGCAGAGGCCCUGCUCCUGGAUGCCCAGCUCAGCUGGUGCCCUGGGCAGAGGGGUGGGGAGGCAUCUGGCCCCGGCAUGCUGUCGCCACAGCAGGCACAGUGGGGGAUGGCAGGCCUGGUAUGGAGGGGCAGCGAGUGUGGCCCCCAGGGGAGAUGGGGGUGUGUGCCUGGCCAUCUCCUGGCCUCUGCAACCAGGCUGGGGGCAGAGGAGGUGGUGUUGCUGCCUGGGCUUCACGUGGCUGUGGGCUUGCGGGGUGCCUGGUGGAUGGCAGGCUUGAGGCAGAAGGACCAGCAGCGAAGGAAGGGAGAGUGGUCUGCAUGAGGCUGGGACUGAGGGCUGAGGUUCCAGAACCCAAAGGGCAGCGUGGGGAACCAGUGUCCUUUGCUGAUGGGGAGCUGUCCUGGGCCAGGGUCCCCACCAGCCCCCCUGCAAAGAGACCCUCGAUCCUCAGGCUUGCCCAGCCGUCCUCAGCAGGCACCUAUUGCGCAUGACGUGCUUCUCAUCAGUCAUCAGCUGGAACAACCUCCAGAAGGUGUCGUCCUCGUUCAGGAACAUCAGUAGGACGGCCACGACCUCAUUCAUGCCCUGGAAGUAGCCCACCUCCUGCAAGAGCCAGAUGUGCGUGGAGGACCCCCUGGAGCCCACCUCUGCUCUUGGAUUCAUCAGCCCAUGGCCUGCCAUGGCCACCAGCGGUCACUCCUGUUCUUGACACCUUUGGGAUGUUUCUUCUCGUGGAAACCCACCCCCAGGAUGGGAAAGAGGGGCAUCCCAGUGACUCACAGCAAGGAACCUAGCCUGUUGGCGACACUGUACACUGAGAGAUCUGUAUCCUUACCUGGUUCCCGCAUCCUCCUUGUAUGGCCCAAAAGCCAGAGGGGGCUGAGAGAUGCCAGGAAAGGCAGGGCAGGACAACUCCCCACCCUGCAUCCCAGGGGCACAGCACCAGGCCUGCCUCACUCAGUGGGAUCUGCCUGGGCCUCACCUCGUACCUGGCUAGGAUCAUGCCUGGGCCACCUGGUCCCAUUUGUGGUGACCCCCACCUGAGCCAUACCCACUCAUCCUGGGGAGGAGGAUGUCCACUCAGGCUUGCUCUGCUCAGCUUUCGCUGUGACUCCUACCUGGAAUGUGAGUGCUCUUGCUGCCCAUGGUUCCCGCUGGGCUGUACCUGUGCACACAUGGCAAUGGGUCCCACCUGGGCCUCACCUGCUCCUCCUUGGCUAUGAUCCCACCAGGGACAUCCCUGCUCCUGCUGGCCAUGUGGGCUGGCAUGGCCCCCCUGGGCCUCACCUGCUGCGUGCUGACUGUGCUCCCCGCCUGAGCUGUACCUGUUCCUACUGGUAACCAUCCUUACGUGGCCUUCCAUCGUCUACCCAGGGAUGACCUCGGCCUGGCCUCCCUUGCUUAUUCUUGGCGCUGGUUCCUCCUGGGACAUACCUGAUUCUGUGGGCUAGGAUGCUCGCCUGGGCUGCAGUGAUUCCCACUUGGGAAAUGUACCUUUUCUGAUGGGUGAUGUUACCAGUUCUACCUGGCUAGGAUCCCUGCCGGGUCUCAGCUGCCUGUCCUUGGCUCAGAUCCCUGCUUGGGUGCACCUGCUCUUGUCUAUGAUCCCUGUUGGGGUCUCACCUGCUCAUAUUUUGUUAUAAUUUCUUCUCGUUCCAAGGCUAGUAGGGUCUCCAGCUUCUCCAUGUUGGAUGCUGCAAGACAAAAUCCAUGUAUUCCAGUGCCCUAAAGAGCUUCAGGGACCCAGCAAGUGGAAGUUGGCUCCCUGUUGGCAGCUUCCUGGUCAUAGAGGGAGAAAUCAGACAUUAGUGCCCCCUUAGUGCGUGGGAUCCCCUUUGGCAAUCAUGGCUUGCAUCCACACCUAAUACUUCCACUUCUAGAUUUCAGAAUGGGGUAGACCUUUCUCCAAAGUCCACCCAGCUUUAGAAAACAAGGCCAACAGGCUCAGGGGGAGCUUCCCAACCUCAUCGGCCAUCAGGGAGAUGCAAGUCAAGACCACAGGGCACACCACUUCUCACCCAUGGAAACUUUAUUCCCAAUAACAGGAUGUGGAGAGAUUGCAACUCUCCUGUACUGCAGGCAGGAAAUGGUGUCCCUACACUGUGGAUCGGUGAACGAAAUUGGGCACAAGAGACCAUAUAUUGUAUGAUUCCAUUGAUCUGAAGUGUCCAGCAUCACCAGGUCCAUAGAGACAGAAACUGGAUCGGGGGGCCCCAGGGCUGGGGGAUGGGCGAGGGGUGGGUAUCUGCUGAUGGAUAAGAGACUUUGACGAGGUGGUGACACGUGGAUGGAUAAGAGACUUUGACGAGGUGGUGACACGUGGAUGCAGUGGUGAUGGUAGCAGGAGUCUGUAAAAUAAAGACCUCUGAAUAGUCUACUUGAGCUAAAGUGGAUGAUGUGUGAAUUUCAGAGAAAGCUCUUUGAGCCGGAUUCGCCCCAGGAGCCCUGAAAGGGGCAGUGAGAGACUUCACUUAGAUUAAAACACAACCAGGGGCUCUCAUGUUCGAGGGCAGCAGUCCUGAGCUUCUGCCC
ensembl:lncRNA